UACAGAGGGUGCAAGCGUUGUUCGGAGUUACUGGGCGUAAAGGGUGCGCAGGUGGCCGCGCGCGUGGGGGGUGAAAUCGCCUGGCUUAACUGGGCGGGGGCCUUCCAGACGGCGUGGCUUGAGCAGCGGAGGGGGGCGUGGAAUUCCGGGUGGAGCGGUGAAAUGCGUAGAGAUCGGGAGGAACACCAGUGGCGAAGGCGGCUACCUGGACCAGCACUGACACUGAAGCACGAAAGCGUGGGGAGCAAACAGG
rnacentral:rRNA from 1 species